UAUAAGCUAAAACAUGGUUUUCCCAUAUGUGAAAUCUUUUGGUGUUAGGAUGCCAGCAUGACAUAGGUGAUGGAUUCUAAGGCCUCCUGAUAGCAGAACAUCUGUCCAUUUUCUCAUUGGUACAGGGGAGACAGCCUCCCAGCAUCCCAGAGUAGUGUUCUCAUCCUUUGGAGUACAUCAGAGUUAUCUGGGAUGCUUUGACAAUAUGACUGAGCCUUGGUAUCUUCCUGGCAGGUACAUAAAAUUGCUCUACAACAGCACAGGAGGCUUGAUGGAAAACAUCCUAUGUGAUUCCAACAAGCAGGCUCACUAUACAUGUCAUGGAAAACCUAGGAGCCUGGGUUCUUCAAACAAGAGACAUUUUCUUCAUGUUAAUGAAUUAAAAGGAAAACAAAAUAAAUAUAUUCUGAGUCCCUCAAGUAAGAACUACAUGGUGAUCACAGUGAAGGAACUGGUUUGAUGGUACAGGGGGAAACUGCCUGCUCUACAAGCACGAGAGCCUGCUUUUGGAUCCCCAUUUAAAAGCUGGGCAUGGUGGCCAAUAUCUGGAAUCCCAGAGCUCAGGAGUGGGAGACAGAUUGGGGGGGGGGGAUUAGCUCUGUGUAGAAUCUAAAGACAGAAGCAUGUGGUUUGUACUGGUUCUUAAUUCUGCUGUCACUCAAUGGGGCUUAAUAAUAGAGCCUGCCUCAAAAUAAGGUAAUGAUCAACAGAAGAAGACAUAGGACAUUGACUUCUGGCCUCUACUCAUACAUGUAUGAGUGUAUGUAUGUGCACAUGCAUGUAUAAAUCAGAGACAGAGAGAGAUAAAGACAGAGACAAAGAGCGAGAGAAACACAGAGAGAGACAGAGAAGAAGAAGAGGGGAAGGAGAGGAGGAUGAGGCAGAGAAGAAGAGGAGGUGGGAGAGAAGGGGGAGGAGGAAAAAGAGGAGGAGAAGGAGGAAGAGGUGGAGGAGGGAGAGGAUGGGGAGGAGGAAAAAGAGGAGGAGAAGGAAGAAGAAGAAGAAGAAGAAGAAGAAGAAGAAGAAGAAGAAGAAGAAGAAGAAGAAGAAGAAGAAGAAGAAGAAGAAGAAGAAGAAGAAGAAGAAAAGGAGGAGGAGGAGGAAGAGGAGGAAGAAGAGGAGGAAGAGGAGGAAGAGGAAGGGGAAGAAGAUGAUGAUUAUACAAUGUAGAUUUAAGCUGUGCCUGGGAAGGUGGUUGUUUAAAACGAGAUUCAACUGGGAAUGAAUAUUAAGCCAGUCCACAUUAAUCUGCACAAGUAGAUAUUAACCAUUACUGCUUCAGAAUCUGACUCAUCUGAACACAGCUUCCUUGCAGAUGCAAUGAGUUGAGAAAUGGUCACCAUGAUGGAUUCCUCUCUGGCAUGCUUGGCAUCUUUAUCCCGGGAUAAAAUAUAGACAGAUGUAGAAUGCAUGUAAAGAUAAAAGCAGACUGGGCAAGUGCUCCUAUAAGCUAAAGAAUGCCAAAGAUGGACAGCAAGCCAGAAGGAACUAGAAUAUUACAGUUCUAUACAAGCAGUUAACCUCAUUGAAACCUUGGCAUUAGAAUUUAGACUGUUAGAAGUACGAGAUGACUGAACUUUAUCCUUCAGAUGUCGGUUCCAGCCCUUUGCGAAAGACAUCCUGAUCAGAGAGUUUCAGAAGAGACAGAGGAGCAGUGAGAAAGGAACCAGAAUUGGUUGAACACCUACUAUGUUUCCCAUACCCCCGUGGAGGACUUAAUAACCAUGAGACAUUUUCCUGAUUGAUUAAAGUAUAUCUAAUUACAGACCAGGAAGCAUAGGGGAAGGUCAUUUAGCUAAAAGGGGAGUCAUACACAAUCAGAAAGACAGACAAAAGGAAAGAGAAACAUUUCUAAGUGUAAUAUAUGCAUUCCAUGGAGAAGAAAUUACUUCUACUUGGGGUUAGAGAGAAAGUUUGUCUAGAGGAUGUAUGAGUUCACUCAGGUUUCUGUAAGAAAAUGUCACAGACUGUGUGACUUAGACACCACAUGUUUGUUUUCUUACACUUCCGGAGGACAGAAGUCCAAGGUGAAGGAGCCAGUGGAUUGCUUUCACCUGACAUUUCUCCAAGGUUGUUUCAUCAGAGUGCUCCAUAACCAUUCUCCCAUGAACACACAUACCUGGUAUCUCUUCGUGUUCUCAGCUCUCCCUUAUGUGUCUAAAAUUUCUUUCCUUAAAAGAACAUCAACACUGGGAUUAGAUCCAACAAGAAUGACUUCAUUUUUCUCUCAAUUGCCACUUAAAUGCCCUAUCUUCAACUACACUCACAGCCUAAGAUACUGGAGAUUAGGGCUUCAGGAAGUCUUUUGAAAUUACACAAUUCAACCUCCACACAAGGGGACCAGGAUAGACUCCAGGAAAAGAGCAUAAGGAGAAGUAAUGUGCAAGAUUGAAAUUUGAUUUGAAAGAGUGAAAAACAAAGUGAAGAAGAGGAAAAUGCCAAAAUUGAUUCUUGUGGAAAAUAAUCUCAAUAAACUGCUAGCAAAGAUCCUCGGCAAAAAUAUAAUGUGAUGGUGCAGGAAUGAACAGGAUCUCAUAUAAGGACACUGAUGGAACCGUGAGACUGCAACAGAAGGCGAUUCUGUGGAUCCCUACCUAAACAUUGGUCGCAUGAUUCUGAGAAUAAAUAAAGCAACUUUUCUGUCAACAGA